GUUGGGGCUCCGGGCCCGCGCACCCCAGGCCGUGCAAACAUACCUGGAGGGGUUUAGCCUCCACUCGCGGUUCCGGGUCACGAGGCGCGCGGACGAGGGGGCCCUGUCACCCACUCGCGACUGCAGGGUCUCAAAUAUUGAAGACAGUUCUUGAAGUUAGUACCCAGGAGUGGAGUAAUCACUAUGAAGCCAGAAGAGCCUUAGACCUCUCAUUCUCCUGCCUCUUCCUCCUGAAAUGCUGGAAUUAAAGGCUAUCAAGCUGUUGAGACAAUGGACCACAAGCUGGAAAGAGGAAAAGGCUGGGAUUCUGGUGCCAACCAGAGGCAAAGCUUGUCUCCCAGAAAGAGAAUUCAUGCAAUUCUGACAACUUGUCAGAACCACCUUGCAGGAGAGACUGGAGCUGGGACAGUGAUGAUGGACUGGAGGACUGUAUUUAGGACUUGUAAGAAAUUAUAUAUUUUCAAAACAGAAGAACUGGACACCAGUGAUGCUGGAUCAAACCUGACAGGAUUCAUCCCUCCAGCAUGCUGAGACGCUAACACAUCUGUUCCAGCAUCCUGCAUGUUCCCAGCAUUCUACUUGUACUUCAGUUGCUGUUCCUCACCGAAGCCUGCUCCCAAAACAGCUUCAGAGUAAGCUGCUGAUCUCAACUGGUCCAGUGUUUCAGACUGUUCCAAACAGGACUUCUAUGAAGUCUGGAAUUUCUCAACAUUUAGAAACUGGAUCACAAAUGUUAAUGCUAGCUUACUUAACUAUUUUCCCCAAUUUCCUUUGGGCCCCCAAAUAGGAUUUUUUUUGUAUCUAAAUCAGGUAGAAGCAACCUUGAGAGUGAAGUUGCAUUUUCCUUAAGUUUUUGGUUGUUUUGGGAGGCUAUGAAUGUUUAUUGUCAUUGAGAGAUGGUUAUAAGUUAUUAAUGGCCUUAUUCAGAGAGAAGACAGAGUUAGAUUCAGGGAUUUCUCUCUUUUCUUUCCUCUAUCUUUCUUUUUUAGAUAAGGAGAAAAGGGUUGAAAAGAAAGGGAAAUAAAAACAUAUCUUAUAGGAAUAAUAAGACAGAAGGUAGAUUAUUGAAUCUACUCAACUUAAGACUUUGUUAUUCUCAAAUCAGGUUAUUUUUAACUCAUUGGCAUAGGAUUUUGUAUAGUAAUACAAAAGUAAGUAUUUAUGAUACAUUGGUAUAAAUUUUGUUAGAUUGAUACAAAUUUAAGGCUAACUUUCAAUACUUUAAAACUAAUAUUAUAAGCUUUUAGGAUAUUAGGUAAUACAAUUGGUAAUUGGUAAAUGUAAUUGGUAAUCAACUCAUGGUCCUAUCAGACACUAGUCUAAUCUAUCACAGAAAUAUAUAUCCUAGAUUUAACAGAUAGACAUGAUUCUAUACACAGAUAGAUUAUAUAAAAAUAAAUAAGUCUUCAAAAAUCAUAGAGACCUACAGAACAUGGCAUUUAAAAUGUUUUUAUUAUUUUAAUGAUUCUUUAACAAUGAGACAUGUCAUCUCCCGGUAGCACCCAGCCUACCUCAAAGAAGAUGAUGAGCAUCAAAGAACCUCCAUGUGGAGAUGGCUUCAAAAGUGGCAAACCAGCCACUUGGGCAAAUAAAAUGCCCUCGCUUCAUAACAGACAGAAUUCUGCCUAAAAUGGGCAAGCUUAAAUACAAACCAAGUAGACUGCCGAACUCUGCCAAGACAGGGUAAGCAAGUCCUAAAUAGCUUCUGCUUCACAUAUACAUCUGUCAAAUAUACUGGGCCAGAAGGCUGAAGAUGAUGCUCCAGUGUUUAAAGAGUAGAGUUCAGGGAGCAAACUGUCUCUGUCAUUUUGGUUAUUUUUGGAAGCUGCUAGCAUGUACUUCAUAUUUACUCAAAUAAUUAAUUUUAUUCCUUCUCAAGUCUCUGAUGGGGUUGAAGAACAGAUAGUCAUAGUUUUCCAACUAGCUUAGUUGCUUAGAAAUUAAAGAGAUAUUUCAGGUCUAGAUAGAUGUUUUUAAGUUUAUAAAUGCAAAUUAUAAUAAAAAUAACAGGUACAAAUCUUUAGACUCUCAUAUACAGGAUAGAUAUUUUCUUCAAGAUAGCCAAAUACAUUUAGACUAGAAGACUAGAAUAUAUAUAUAUAUAUAUAUAUAUAUAUAUAUAUAUAUAUUCUUACCUAUUAGUUUUUUAAUGGUUUCAUAAUUAUUUUUACUAUAUUAAAAAUGGCCUUUUUAUUUAGACAGAAAAGGGGAAUUGUUGGGGUUGGUCUGAUGCUUGUAUUUUGUUUUUGUUGCUAAUUACUGGCCCUCAAGAUCUGUUACUGCCAUGAUACACCUGUCCUUGUUGUGUAAACCUACCUGAUUGGCUGAUUAAAUGGCCUAUUCCUGGGCAGGGCAGAAUGGGUUCCCAGGCUUUUGAGGACAGGAGGAUCAUGGGAAGAAGAUGGAUGGGAAGAGAGGAGAAAGGAGGAUGCCACAGUGGGAUUAGCGUGAAGAAGAAACCACAUGGGCCAUGAGGAAGGACUCCAAGAAUGGUGUGGAUGGAAAAACACCAAAUAUAAGCAAGUAUUCGUAAGAUUGUUGAUGGUAGGUAGCCCCAGAUAAGGAUGGUGAAGGCAGAUGCCAUUGGAUAGGGGCUGGACGGUGGAUGGUGAGGUUGUUGAGACAGUGUAGGUAGAAAUAUCUGCCCAAGGUAAAUAAGCAAUUCUAAAAUCUACCAGGUGUCUGUGUCUUAUUAUUUGUGAUAGCGGGCUAAAUACCACCACCACAAUAAUUAUAGGGCUAGUAAUAAUAAUAUGUAUUUUAUAGCUCAACACUCAUUUACAUUUACAACCACAUAAUAUGGUCACAUUUAAUAAAUCUUAUUCUGCUCUUCAGUAUUAUUUGUUUGCUUAAGUGGCCUGUUGGCAGUGGGUGGCUAAACCUGGCUUGUUAGACAUGCCGGGGCCCAGGCUCUGGCCCUAGCAACUCCAAGUCACAAUUUCAGUGACCUAACCAGGAAAAGAGAGACUUCUUUUGGUUUUAUCCACUUAGGACAAAAUGAUGUCAGGUGAAGAAGAUUGAAGGGUCCCACACAGCUGCUGGUGUCACUUUAUUCCAGGACCUUUUCCUUUUCUUCCCAUUUCAGAGGACAUCAGUUGCUUCUUACCUUUAUUGGAUGAAAUAGAGAAAAGAGUAUUUAGACUUCAAAAAAUUUUGAUUCUUAGUUUCUUUCUAGUCAGUGCAUCCCAGGCUUUGCUUUCCUGUUGGUUUGGGGCACCUUUGAGCUGUUUAGGUUCAUUUUGAACCAUUUUCGUAAUUGCUGUGUGGUGCCUGGCUUUGUCUUUUAGAACUCUGAGCUGUUUGGGUUGUGUUGAACCAUUUGGAAUAUUAUGCCACUGUAUGACGGGAUUGUUAAUUCGGAAAUUUGGGGGCCUCUGUUGAGCCAGUUAAGGUUCUGUUCAACCACUUGAGACAGAAAUGAAGGCGUUAAGGAAAUCCUUACUGUGAUUUGUGUAUCUUGAUGCCCCCUAGGGAGAAAUUUGAUUAGAGUUUUGUAUGCUCGUGGUGGUUUUAAGGCAGUGUGCAGCAGCACUUAAUCUGUUUCAAGAAUUCCAGAAAAUAACUGAGUUGUAAACUUCUGGCCUUUUCUUUCCUUUUUCUUAAAAAAAAAAUUUUUUUUUUAAUUUAUUAUGUAUAAUGUUCUGCCUGCCUGUGUGGUAGCACGCCAGAAGAGGGCACCAGAUGUCAUUAUAGAUAGUUGUGAGCCACCAUGUGGUUGCUGGGAAUUGAACUCAGGACCUCUGGAAGAGCAGCCAGUGUUCUUAACCUCUGAGCCAUCUCUUCUGAGAAACAUUGUUCAAAGACAAGGGGAGGAAAUGUUAAAAUUGAAAUGAAGUCACAUUGGGCAUGGUAGUGCUUGCAGCACUUGGGAGCCUGAGGCAGGAGGAUUGUGAUUAAGAGGACAGUGUGGGAUUUGUAGCGAAACUCUCUGUGAAAGCCAACAAAAAUGGAAUCACUGUGCCACCCCUUCCAAAGUAACUAAAACCAAGUGAAAUGGAGAAAUGACUCGAAGACUUGGUUAAUGUCAAGUAACUAAAUUAAUUGUCUUCAGACUUUGAUCCCUGCUUGUAUUAUGUUUGUGAUACUUAUUUCAGACACAGGCAUAUUAUACCCCAGGACUGAAGUAUAAAAACAAAAACUGAGAAUGUAUCCAUCUUGGUAGGGAUGAAGAUGUUCUAAAGACAGACCAAUGCCUUACCCUUCCUUGGUUAUCAGAAAGACAGAGUAGCCUGGGGUACUGCACGAGGCUACACCCCUCCAUCCUGAAACAGCCCCUGGACUUUCCCUCCCCAUGGCCUCUGCCCUCUACAAGCCCCUGAUAAAGAACCACAAGAAAUGAGAAUUUCCCUGGGAAUCUCAUAACGGGAGAAGGAAAUGCCUGCUAACAGUCAGAUGGGGAGUUUGUCUUCUUCUUUCUGUCACACCUUGAGAAAAGAAACUAAAACGGAGACCAAACCAAAAUGGAGUUACUAUUAAUGCCGUACAAUCAAAGCAAAACUGUAAGGCAACAUCAGGCUAGCUUUCCUGCCAGCUGAGAUUCCAGCCCACCUUGGUCCUUGUGAGAAGGAAACCCCUGAAGAGAAGGUGGUUGGGGAAGUAAGUGUGGGGUUGUGAAAAAGAACAGAGGUGUAAAGAUAGGCAUGUAUGAGCUGUGACAGUGACUCCCUUUGUAAGCUAACACCAACAAAAAGUCCCCUCUGCUUUAACCUUACCGAGAGGGCCAACCUGAUGUUAAACAACCAGUUCCUCCACUCCCACCCCUACAUUCUUUGUGAAGAAAGAAUCUUAACCCAUGUUAAACCCUACUGUUCCGCCACUGUCCACUGGGCCUUGGUCUGAUUUUGUAGACUUGGAGGGUGCCUCAGUUCAUGGAGAGAGAAUAAAAGACAGUUAUAUCCCUGAUUAAAUUUGUAAUUUUGCCUUUUUUGCUUUGUUUUUGUAGCUCAGGCUGGCUUCUCCUCAUCCUAACUCAGUGGCCCCCUGUGGGAUUAUAGGCGCCUACUGUUGGGAUCCGGUAGCAGGCAUCUCUACGGCCAGCCCCAAGGGACCUGACAAACCAGAUGUCAGGCAUCUGUGAAGCUACCUAUGGACCACCUGAAGCCACCUGCACCAUGCUCUAGUUACCCUGAUAUCAGGGCUAAGCUUAAAUGCUUGGAGAGAGGACCUCUGACUCCACAGGCAGAAGUUUUAGCGCUGGCCUUUAAGGUAUACCAUGGGAGAGAUCAGAAAGCCCACAAGCAAAAAUACCAAAUGCUGGCCAAGGCUAUCUGACCAGCUUCAGCCACUACCCAGGCUCCCUUGCCUACUAGAAGGCAUGAGGAACUCAUUGUUUCAAAUGUGAUCAAGAAGGUCACUGGGCCCAGUUUUGUCCUAACCCCCUCAAGGCACCAGGGCCAUGUCCAAAAUGCCACCAAGAGAGACGUUCGGUUGUUGAUUGCAACCGUUUCUCCCAUGAUAUGGGGACAUCACUCCCAGAUCACCCUUCGGCCGAUAUCCUAAGCCUAGCUAUCGAUGACCAAAGGUGUCCGGGUUCCCUUGACCAUACUAUUGCCAUCACUAGCCGGGAGCCACGAGUGAUUAUCAUGGUAUCGGGGUGGUCCAUCUCCUUCCUUGGGGACACCUGAGCCACUUGCUCAGUCCUGACAGAGUAUUGGGGACCAACCUCUUCUUCUAGUUCCCCUAUUGUUGGGGUAGGUGGACAGCCUUACCAGCCUUGCUGGACUCAAUCACUCAAUUGUAUUUUCAUUGCUGUUCCCUUAACUCAUUCCUUUUUAGUGAUGCCAACCUGUCCAGUUCCCUUACUGGGAAGGGACUUUUUAGCCAAAGUGGGAGCCUUUAUCUCCUUUACUCCAUCCAUUUGCCUAACCCCAAGUUCACCAGCAUCCUCUUUCCUCCUUCUCCUAGCUACCCUACCUACCAGUUAUGAAACAUCGCUUCCUUUACCAGCCUCGCAAGUGGACCCCCAAGUCUGAGAUGUCCAAAACCCAUCUGUUGCUAGGCACCAUUCCACCUGUGGUCAUUCAGCUACAGGAUCCUACCUGUUAUAUUACCCAAUCCCUGGGGAUGGGAGAAGUAGAGAAGGUAAUUAAACACUCCUCUAAGUGUGGAGAGCUGCUUGUCUAGCUACUUUGUUACUUAUUGAAAAACAGUUUUCACCCUGGCCUUCACCUUGAGACUGAGAAAAGAGGGAGUUUCACCAAGUUCCUUAAAACUUGUUUGUGUGACCUUGGACCAUAUCUGCUAUAGGGAAGUAGUUUUAGAAAACAAGUUUGGCAGUUCCACGAACGUCUUUCUUGUAUUGAUGUGACUUGCUUUAAAUUUUUCAAUCCUCACUCCCCACUCAGGAACUGUUCGACUCUGCCAGCGGGCUCCGGCAUCAAAGGCCAUUGCCUCUCUGACUUUCCCCCUCCUAAAUAAUACAAACCUGUCAUUUUGUCUCCUACUUCACACUCUCACCUCAGCCUACAAGCUCCUUAAUGUGACCCAACCAGGCUUUUUUAAAGCUGGCUGGCUGUGUGUCCCACCUGGGACCAACUCAGAGCUACCACUGACAGCUUCUCCAGUGACUCUGUCAAGUAACCUUACUUCACUAUUCAUCAACUGCCCUGACUCUGAUGUUGCCACAACCCCCCUAACCUUUUUCAUAUCACCCUCUUUGGCAUGGCAAGCUGUUUCAAGGCAUCUGGAACAUACUCUGUAGGAAUGCUAAGUUCCUUAGAGUGUAAUAAAACUAUAAUCCUUGAUACUUCAUCUCAUCCCCAAUGCCCUACUGCUAAUAAUACCUCAAUUCUUUGUGGUACUCAGGUCUACCAUCAUCUGCCUGCUGGUUGGUCAGGAGUUUGCAAGCUGGUGUUCCUCUUCCCGAGCUGGGGGUGAUAAAUGAAAGGGAGCCCCUACCAAUCCCGGUCGUGGACUCAAUAGCUGCCAGCAGGAUAAAAGGGCAGUUCAAAUCCUGCCCCUCUUGGCCGUUGCAGGAAUCACGGCAGCUGUCAGGAUCGGGACAGCAGGACCAGCCACUUCACUAACUUCGUAUCAUCAGCUUUCUUCCUAGUUCAUCCAGGACCUCCAGCAAGUGGCUCAGACAAUACUAACUCUCCAGGGACAGACUGACUCGCUGGCAGCAGUAGUACUUCAAAACCGACGCGGAUUGGAUCUCCUCACAGCUAAAGAAGGUGGCCUUUGCCUCUUCCUCCAGGAGGAAUGCUGUUUUUAUGUCAACCAGUCAGAACCAGAUGACAAUGACUCUCCAAUCAACCCUGAUGGUGGGGACCAGCUGUACCCUGAGAUCGACAACGCCCCUAAUCAGCAGCAAGUAGCUUGAAGAGCAAAGGUUGCCCCAAUGCCCUCACCACCAUCACCGCCUUCCUAGCUCCUUACUUUUUAAUAAAACAAAAAGGGAGAAAUGUUGGGAUCCGGAAGCAGGCAUCUCUACGGCCAGCUCCAAGGGACCUGACAAACCGGAUGUCAGGCAUCUGUGAAGCCACCUAUGGACCACCUGAAACCACCUGCGUGUGCUCUGGGUCACCUUAGAACUCGCACCACCUCCAGUCUCUCUCUUCUGCCCUGCCCAGAGACGGUCUCUGUGACCCCUUCCCCCCUCCCUUAAUAAACCUCCCACAUGGAA